AGAGUUUGAUCCUGGCUCAGGAUGAACGCUGGCGGCGUGCUUAACACAUGCAAGUCGAACGAACCUUCGGGUUAGUGGCGGACGGGUGAGUAACGCGUGAGAAUCUGCCCUCAGGAGGGGGAUAACGGCUGGAAACGUCCGCUAAUACCCCAUAUGCCGAGAGGUGAAAUGAAUUUCGCCUGAGGAUGAGCUCGCGUCUGAUUAGCUAGUUGGUGUGGUAAAGGCUCACCAAGGCAUCGAUCAGUAGCUGGUCUGAGAGGAUGAUCAGCCACACUGGGACUGAGACACGGCCCAGACUCCUACGGGAGGCAGCAGUGGGGAAUUUUCCGCAAUGGGCGCAAGCCUGACGGAGCAACGCCGCGUGAGGGAUGAAGGCCUCUGGGCUGUAAACCUCUUUUAUCAAGGAAGAAGAUCUGACGGUACUUGAUGAAUAAGCCACGGCUAAUUCCGUGCCAGCAGCCGCGGUAAUACGGGAGUGGCAAGCGUUAUCCGGAAUUAUUGGGCGUAAAGCGUCCGCAGGCGGUCUUGAAAGUCUGUUGUUAAAGCGUGGAGCUCAACUCCAUUUCAGCAAUGGAAACUAGAAGACUAGAGUGUGGUAGGGGCAGAGGGAAUUCCCGGUGUAGCGGUGAAAUGCGUAGAUAUCGGGAAGAACACCAGUGGCGAAGGCGCUCUGCUGGGCCAUAACUGACGCUCAUGGACGAAAGCCAGGGGAGCGAAAGGGAUUAGAUACCCCUGUAGUCCUGGCCGUAAACGAUGAACACUAGGUGUCGGGGGAAUCGACCCCCUCGGUGUCGUAGCCAACGCGUUAAGUGUUCCGCCUGGGGAGUACGCACGCAAGUGUGAAACUCAAAGGAAUUGACGGGGGCCCGCACAAGCGGUGGAGUAUGUGGUUUAAUUCGAUGCAACGCGAAGAACCUUACCAGGGUUUGACAUCCUGCGAAUCCCUUGGAAACUUGGGAGUGCCUUCGGGAGCGCAGUGACAGGUGGUGCAUGGCUGUCGUCAGCUCGUGUCGUGAGAUGUUGGGUUAAGUCCCGCAACGAGCGCAACCCACGUCUUUAGUUGCCAGCAUUAAGUUGGGCACUCUAGAGAGACUGCCGGUGAUAAACCGGAGGAAGGUGUGGAUGACGUCAAGUCAUCAUGCCCCUUACAUCCUGGGCUACACACGUACUACAAUGCUACGGACAAAGGGCAGCAAACUCGCGAGAGCUAGCAAAUCCCAUAAACCGUGGCUCAGUUCAGAUCGUAGGCUGCAACUCGCCUACGUGAAGGAGGAAUCGCUAGUAAUCGCAGGUCAGCAUACUGCGGUGAAUACGUUCCCGGGCCUUGUACACACCGCCCGUCACACCAUGGAAGUUGGCCACGCCCGAAGUCGUUACUCCAACCCGCAAGGGAGGAGGAUGCCGAAGGUGGGGCUGAUGACUGGGGUGAAGUCGUAACAAGGUA
rnacentral:rRNA from 1 species